CAAAAGUAUUACAGACAGAUACUUAUGAAUGUUAAAUUAAUUUGUGAAACCAUCUUAAUAGUGGUUAAUAUGUUACCCUUGAUUAAAGGUCUCGGAUUGAAUUCUGAUGAACAUGCCAUGCAUACAUUCCCUGACUUCUUUAUAUUUAAUACACUGUGGUAAGUCAUGUUCUGUUAAUAGCAACCAUACCAGUGACCAUUCUUUCUUGAACAUAUGUAAACUGAAUUUAAGGUUAGAAUGAGCAACGAGGCAAUUCACGGUACUGAACGCAUUCACAAUAGCACAGUGUUCUUUUAACAACAGUUUUUCGCGCGAAUUACAAAGUAUAAGACGUAAUUUUUAUUAGAGAAACAAAUAAUGCUACUAUGUGAUUAUGUUUGUGAAAAUUAAACAUAUUUUCAGAAUUUUAAAGAUAACAUAAUUGAAAUAGCGAUUCUUCCGAAAACAAUUUGUUUCGAUGCCUAACGUGACAACGAAUGUAGUAGUAUGAAACUACUGUGGUUGAUGAGGGGAAAACAUUUUUGAGGUUAGUGAUAAUACUUAAUUUCAAACUUUGCUACUACAUUUUGACAAAUACUUAAAAUGGUGGCAUAAAUUACAUGUUACAAUUGAAACUUUGAAAUAUCUCUGUUUAUACCAUAAUUAAUUCUGAUAUUAUUCCAGGUGCUAAUCUGAAAUAUAUUGAUAUAAUGGAUAAUGGAAUGUUGGAACGUAGGUAUAGAGUACUUCGUAACCACUUGGAUGACUUGGGUUAUUGGCAGCCCUUGUUAGUAGAAUCUCUUCCCUUGGUAGAAAGGCUUGUAUCAGAUCUCUUACAUACUACAGAAAGUUUACGUCGUUAUAAAGAAUUGGCACAGAGAAGUUUAGAGGAAUGUGGCAAUCUUGAAUUAGUAUCUGAACCAUACAAGCUUGAUAAUGCCAGACUUGUUAAAGAAUGUAAUGACUUACACAUGAAGUUAUUGCAUCAAACAGAAGAUUCUGAUAAGAAACAAAAAGACUUAAAACUUCGAGUUCGUAAACUAGAAAGCGAUAAUUCAGAUCUUCAGUUCCUAAGUUCACAGCAUAUAGCAAGAAUUAAGGCCUUAGAACAAGAAUCUGCCCAGAAGACUCGUAAGAUACAACAAUUACAAGGAAAAAGUGCACCCACAAAUAUUUCUGGACCUGGUGGCAAGAAAAAGGUGUUUGCUACCAAACCUCAAACAACAUUUGAAUUAGAUCCCCAAUUAAAACUAGGAAAGUCUUGUCAAGAAGAGCAAAGAAAUGUAUCAUCACAGGCAAAGAGUCCCUAUACUUCAGAUAUGAUGGAACUAGCAGAACAGCGAAUUAGUAACCUGACUCAAAGGAUAGACAUUCUGGAGGAGGAGAAAAUGCAGCAGUCAGAAAUCAUUGCCUCAUUUAAGAAUCAGCUAAAUAAUCGAGACAGGGAAAUUCAGCGCCUCAUGGGUAUGUUAGAAGGUGGUCGACCAGUUGAUGCUAUCAGAAAGGACUAUUGCCACUGCACUUGUAAAGAUAUUACUCUGCAACUUAACGCUAUGUCUGAUGAAAUUAAAACACUCGAGCUUAAGAAGGAAGAACUGGAGCAACAAGUCAAAGAAUCAGUCGCAAGUCAGCAUGAGGCAAUGAGUCGAGCAGUUAUGCUAGCCGAUCGUAAUAAACAACUUGAAAAGGAGUUGCAUGACAUUGAUCAGAUGGCUUUAGCAGUUGAAGCUGAAUGCAAUUCUACUGUUAAAGAGAACUCGAUGAGAGUUUCCAAAAUUCAGGUAAAACUGGAAAACAGUUUAAUGCAGAUUCGUGACUUAGAGCAAGAAGUUUUAGAACUGAAACGGAAUAACCAGGAACUCCAAGCAAGCAUGGAAGGUACAAGAAAUGAAAAGCACCAUCUUCAAAGGAAACUGGAAAGUGCUCUCGACGAGAAAAAGAAAAAUUCAGACCGCAUCAAUGAACUUACCAUAAUUGAACAUGGCCUCAAUAAAGAGAUUGAACAAAUGAUACAAGAAACAACUUUACAGAAGCGCAGAAUAGCAGAACUUGAAAGCCAGUUGACAUCUAGAGUGACUCAUCUUGGAAAAAUGUCCGACAAGUCCCAGAAGAAGGUACAACCAGAGAAGAGGCAAAAAAGUAAAAGUCCAAUAAGUGCUCCAAAGGAUCGAAGAGGGGACAGUAUUCCCAGGCACGCUUCUUUAGAAAGAGAUGUCAAUUAUGAAGCUUUGAUCGAGAAACUGCAGUCAGAGCGAGAUUUUUACCACAACGAGUGGCUUUCUUUGAAAGAACAGAAGAGAAUCGCUGUUACCAGUAAUAAUUCCAAUGAACUGCGACGCAAACUCAAUGAAAAGGAGCAACAGGUAAUGGAGUUGCAGCAAGCAAAUCGUGAUUUACUCAAGGAGAAAGAGAUUCUAAGAUCUUGCAUCGAUUCUCUGCCAAAUAAAGAAACGCAUUCAACGAUGACAUCUCCUUGUGCAGAUCCAGCUAGUGGAAUGUCUUUGAAGGCCUUGACAAGACGUCUAGAACAAGAGCGUGAUUUGGCAAGAGAUCAUGUUGAACGUUUGGAACAGGAACUGGAUGCUCUUCAUGAACGUCUUAAGAUUGCUACCGAGACUCAAGUGACUGAACAUGCUCGACUUGAGAAGACCGUAAAUGAGAGUGAGGAAAGAGUACGCAGAUUGGAGGCAGAGAGGCGGGAACUCUUGGCUUCUCAAGGAUCUCAGAACGCAACUGUCUCUAAUUUCGAGAUCCAGGUCAAGUCAUUACAGAGUCAGCUCUUUACCGCAAAGACAGAACUAACAGAACAGCGUGCUUUAUAUAACCAAAUUAAGACCCUGCAAGAACAGACAGAUCGGGCACUGGCCGAUUCACAAGGAAAACUUAUUAAAUCUGAAAUGGAACUCGCAAAUUCCCAAGAAUGUGUCAGACAGCUGGAAGAAGAUCGAGCGAGAUCGGACCAAGAGGUAGCUCGACUGAAGAAUGAAAUUUCUGUUAUAAGAGGAACUUUGGCGCAGGUUGAUCAAGAAAAGGAUGGUCUACUAAUAAACAUUGACAACAAGACAGAAAAGGCAGUAAUGCUUGAACAGGAAUUAAAGGCAAAAGAAGGCAAGUUAUCGAGGAUGGAGGAAUUGCUAGCAGAAACAAGAAAUAAAUUAAGUAUUGCAUUAGACGACAUUGCCUCAAGAGACGCGAAGGUAAGAUCUACUGAACGUGACGCAGAGGGCCUGCGGCGUGAGCUGGAGAUGGUGGAACAAUCUAGAGCAUCUGCUCUUGCUGAAAACAGGCGCCUUCAUUCUGACUUAUCUAGUCUAACGGAAGAUUGCCGACGAGCUAACAACGACCUUGAAGUGUCUCGUCAAGAAGUAGAAAACUUGAAACGUCAGUUACAGGAAUAUGUGUCGGAAGUGAGACGAGUGGAAGAUAUGCUUGCUACGAAGGAAGGCGAGAGAAAUGAGAUGCUGGACCACUUCCGCAGCUUGAGCAUGGAGGCAUCUACCUUGGAGAAUAAUAAUCACGGCCUAGAGACAGAAAUGCAAGAUGCCAGGACACGAUUGCGCGUUGCCAACGACCGUAUCGCUGAUCUAGAGCGGCUCCUUGAAUCUAAGGAUACGCUGGUAAACGGCUACGAACAUCAGAUAGCAGAAUUGUCAGGAAAUAUUGCCCAUCUCGAAACUCAACUUCGUGAUGAAUUGUGUCGAAGAAGUCGCGCAGAAGAGGACUUGGGCGUGGUACGAGAUUUAUGUACCAAACUGGACAAACAGAAAGACAAAUUAAUGCAUGAAGUCACCGAGAAUGGCAACAUUAAAAUGCGGCUGGAGUCAGAGUUGGCACGACUGCUUGACGAGCAGCAAGCGCUGCAGGAACAGCUGACUAAGGAUCGCAAAUCGAUUGAAUCCCUCGAGAACCUCCUGUCAUCAUGUCGCAAGGAAACAUUUGAUCAGAAGCUCGCAAAUCAAGGAACACAGGCAGAGGUGAACAGCCUCUGUCAAAAGAUUGCGGAUAUGCAGAAAAAACUUGAUAAAAGUUCAUCAGAACUGCAAUGGAGACAGAAACAGGCUACUGAAUUGAGUCAGCAGGUUUCAGAAUUACAAAGGCGUGUAACCAGCGAACGCUUUGAACGGGUUCGAAUGGAAGAGGAGCGUAGAAGAUUUCUCCGGCCUCCUAAUGGUCAUGGCCAAAUCACCACAACUUCCCAUAGCUCGUCUUCUCCUGGUAAAAGUGGAAAGGGCAUCUUGGCCAGAGCACAACCUCAUGGAUAUGUGAUGACCUCACAUUCCAUGCCAAGUACAAGAUUUCCCUGCACAACUUCAGUCAGUCAGUCAAUUCCGUACCCUCUGCCAUCCGCCCGCGUGUCGUCAAGAAGUCCGCUAGCCAAUCGACAGACGGCAGAAGUUGAAAAGUCUCCAAAUAUCACAGGUUUUAAUACAACCCAGAGAAUUUCUCGCAGAGAUUCAUCAACUGCUACACAAACAGCUUCUCCACCUACGCCUCACCAGAAGAUCAUAGUCACUUCUCCAGAGUCUGUGUUCUCACUUCCUUUAAUUGCGCUUAAUGCAUCAGGAGAACAAACAGUCCAUGUAACAUUUACAUCAACUGUACCAGCCAUAUCGAGAUGUUCUGUUAACUACACCGUUUUAUGGCAAGGUGAAGUGAUGAGAACGACUAGUACAACCAGUACAAGCGUAUCAGCAAGAGACAGUACCGCACUUCCGACAGAUACCAAGAUUGCAACCUGCUAAGUCAGAAGGCGUUCUGUCAUGGACAAAGCUGAUUCAUCUUAAGGGCUGUCACCUUGAGUGAUUCACAAGGUUCAUCACCUAGUCAUGUGGUUAUACCAGGUCUGAAUAUUGAGAACACAGACGAUGAAGACAGAGCAUCUUCCAGUACGGAUCUGUGAUUGUCUUCCAUGUUUGGAGACAGGCAAUGAAGCAUCACAACAUAGAAGCAACAAACGGGACAUUAAACAGAGCAGGAGAAAUUUAAUGGCAGCCUGCCUGACGGCUA